UGUAUUUAGUAAGAGGGAGUGGUGGCUACGGACAACCGGUAACCGCCGUACGGUUCUCAAUUGGGUUAUCCUCACAAUCUCAUCCAGGAAGAACAGUCAGUCGGGCAGAAGGGGUAUCUCAGAUUCCUUUGCCUUUCGCCAUCCAUCAUUAAAUAAAAGAAAUGUCCUCAGAAGACUGACAUUGGUGCCUACAGAUAUCAUUUAUCCACAGCCACUCAUUACGGAACGCAAUAUGGGUCGGUCUAUGGAGCUACUUCUCUUACCAGCUCCCAUCUUUGAGCACACAAGUCGUCGGAUUAUCCGGAUAUGUCCCCACUCUGCCAGUCACCAAAGUAUGCUUCUGGAAGCUAUUUGUCUCCCUCGAGCAACGUUUAUGGUCAAAAGGUAGAAGAUUUGUAUUCAGAUAAGCUGUCUGGUUACGUUUUCGUUGACAGAAGGCAGUUUGGUGAAAGGUCAAGUAUUUAUCUUGGUCGGGAGUUGCAAAGUGACACAACUACUCGAUAUUCUGAUUCACAACAGCCGUGACACUAUUCUGCACAUCCAAGUACACAAACUUAAUCUCUACGUUGUUGACUUGAAAUAGAGAGUAUGGAGAAAGAAAAUGAACAUUUCACCUCCGACUUCUCCAAAGUCAGUAUCUUUCUGUUUCAAAAAGUCAUAUGGUUAACAACAUCCAAUGCUGUAUCUGUUGAUUUACUGUUUUGAGUAUCUAACAGCCUUAGAAAAUAAAUGCAGGAAUACUAUGAGGACAUUGUUAUACAAUGGAAGGCGAAGCUGGAGAGAAGUGCUUCGGGUGAGCAGAAGCGGGAACUUUUUAUAGCAUUAUAGCCAACAAAAUUUAUGAAGUCUUUCACUUUUAUAUGUACGUUUGCUUCUUCAAAUAUAAAAAUAUUAUUUCCCUUUGGCAAUGAUGUUAUGUGGACUUGUGUGUUGUGUUUGAUUUCGUUUGUCUUCACUAUUUUCGGUUUGAUAUAUAAACUGAUUUUCGUUUGGUUCAUUCUUUGUUUCCCAUCAUUAUUUGUGUUAAAUUUGAAUAAUUAUAAUAUUUUUUUUUGUUUAGAUUUUUGUAGCAAUGUGUUUGAUGAAACCGGGUUAUUCAUAUUGAAAUGUGGCUACAAGGUCUUUAGCCUGUGGGUCUAUUCAAUCUUGUCUGAAUUGGGCAUUGCUUGAUAUCGAUUGUGAUGGAUCCAUGGCUAAUAAGUCUAUUUCUAUCUUUAUCUUAGAAUUAGACAACAUUUAAAGUAUUGUGGGCUUUUAGGCCUAAAAAUAUUAAAAUUAAUCGAAAUUGUAAAUUCUGAAAAAAUCAGAAUUUUUGUUACAGCGUACAAAUAGAACACUAUUGUCCAUAAUACCUCACCAUAAUAUUAAUUUUUUGUUUAAUUAUACCACAUUUUCUCAUCUUCUAUUAUUUAAACCAAAUCUAUCUAAAAACCCAAUUAAUAGUUUGUUUUCAGUUCAACAAAUUUUUUGACAUCAAUAUUUCUAA